UGCAAGUCGAACGCGUUGGCCCAAUUGAUUGAUGGUGCUUGCACCUGAUUGAUUUUGGUCGCCAACGAGUGGCGGACGGGUGAGUAACACGUAGGUAACCUGCCCAGAAGCGGGGGACAACAUUUGGAAACAGAUGCUAAUACCGCAUAACAGCGUUGUUCGCAUGAACAACGCUUAAAAGAUGGCUUCUCGCUAUCACUUCUGGAUGGACCUGCGGUGCAUUAGCUUGUUGGUGGGGUAAUGGCCUACCAAGGCGAUGAUGCAUAGCCGAGUUGAGAGACUGAUCGGCCACAAUGGGACUGAGACACGGCCCAUACUCCUACGGGAGGCAGCAGUAGGGAAUCUUCCACAAUGGGCGCAAGCCUGAUGGAGCAACACCGCGUGAGUGAAGAAGGGUUUCGGCUCGUAAAGCUCUGUUGUUAAAGAAGAACACGUAUGAGAGUAACUGUUCAUACGUUGACGGUAUUUAACCAGAAAGUCACGGCUAACUACGUGCCAGCAGCCGCGGUAAUACGUAGGUGGCAAGCGUUAUCCGGAUUUAUUGGGCGUAAAGAGAGUGCAGGCGGUUUUCUAAGUCUGAUGUGAAAGCCUUCGGCUUAACCGGAGAAGUGCAUCGGAAACUGGAUAACUUGAGUGCAGAAGAGGGUAGUGGAACUCCAUGUGUAGCGGUGGAAUGCGUAGAUAUAUGGAAGAACACCAGUGGCGAAGGCGGCUACCUGGUCUGCAACUGACGCUGAGACUCGAAAGCAUGGGUAGCGAACAGGAUUAGAUACCCUGGUAGUCCAUGCCGUAAACGAUGAGUGCUAGGUGUUGGAGGGUUUCCGCCCUUCAGUGCCGGAGCUAACGCAUUAAGCACUCCGCCUGGGGAGUACGACCGCAAGGUUGAAACUCAAAGGAAUUGACGGGGGCCCGCACAAGCGGUGGAGCAUGUGGUUUAAUUCGAAGCUACGCGAAGAACCUUACCAGGUCUUGACAUCUUGCGCCAACCCUAGAGAUAGGGCGUUUCCUUCGGGAACGCAAUGACAGGUGGUGCAUGGUCGUCGUCAGCUCGUGUCGUGAGAUGUUGGGUUAAGUCCCGCAACGAGCGCAACCCUUGUUACUAGUUGCCAGCAUUAAGUUGGGCACUCUAGUGAGACUGCCGGUGACAAACCGGAGGAAGGUGGGGACGACGUCAGAUCAUCAUGCCCCUUAUGACCUGGGCUACACACGUGCUACAAUGGACGGUACAACGAGUCGCGAACUCGCGAGGGCAAGCAAAUCUCUUAAAACCGUUCUCAGUUCGGACUGCAGGCUGCAACUCGCCUGCACGAAGUCGGAAUCGCUAGUAAUCGCGGAUCAGCAUGCCGCGGUGAAUACGUUCCCGGGCCUUGUACACACCGCCCGUCACACCAUGAGAGUUUGUAACACCCAAAGUCGGUGGGGUAACCUUUUAGGAGCCA
rnacentral:rRNA from 1 species